rnacentral:tRNA from 1 species
GAUGCGGUAGCUUAAAUAAAGCGUCUCAUUGAAAAUGAGGAAGAUGGAUACUUUUGUACCCCGUGUCA